UCCAGCAAUGCCGCGUGUGUGAAGAAGGCCUCUCGGGUUGUAAAGCACUUUUGUCCGGAAAGAAAUCCUUGGCUCUAAUACAGUCGGGGGAUGACGGUACCGGAAGAAUAAGCACCGGCUAACUACGUGCCAGCAGCCGCGGUAAUACGUAGGGUGCGAGCGUUAAUCGGAAUUACUGGGCGUAAAGCGUGCGCAGGCGGUUUGCUAAGACCGAUGUGAAAUCCCCGGGCUCAACCUGGGAACUGCAUUGGUGACUGGCAGGCUAGAGUAUGGCAGAGGGGGGUAGAAUUCCACGUGUAGCAGUGAAAUGCGUAGAGAUGUGGAGGAAUACCGAUGGCGAAGGCAGCCCCCUGGGCCAAUACUGACGCUCAUGCACGAAAGCGUGGGGAGCAAACAGGAUUAGAUACCCUGGUAGUCCACGCCCUAAACGAUGUCAACUAGUUGUUGGGGAUUCAUUUCCUUAGUAACGUAGCUAACGCGUGAAGUUGACCGCCUGGGGAGUACGGUCGCAAGAUUAAAACUCAAAGGAAUUGACGGGGACCCGCACAAGCGGUGGAUGAUGUGGAUUAAUUCGAUGCAACGCGAAAAACCUUACCUACCCUUGACAUGGUCGGAAUCCUGCUGAG
rnacentral:rRNA from 1 species